UAUUGGACAAUGGGGGAAACCCUGAUCCAGCAAUGCCGCGUGAGUGAUGAAGGCCUUCGGGUUGUAAAGCUCUUUUACCUGCGAUGAUAAUGACGGUAGCAGGAGAAUAAGCCCCGGCUAACUUCGUGCCAGCAGCCGCGGUAAUACGAAGGGGGCUAGCGUUGUUCGGAAUUACUGGGCGUAAAGGGCGCGUAGGCGGCGCUGUAAGUGAGAUGUGAAAGACCUGGGCUUAACCUGGGAAGCGCAUUUCAGACUGCAGUGCUAGAGUGCGAGAGAGGAAAGUGGAAUGACGCAUGUAGAGGUGAAAUUCGUAGAUAUGCGUUGAACACCAAGGCGAAGGCAACUUUCGGCUCGCAACUGACGCUAAGGCGCGAAA
rnacentral:rRNA from 1 species